UACAGAGGUCCCAAGCGUUGUUCGGAUUCAUUGGGCGUAAAGGGUGCGUAGGUGGCGCCAUAAGUCAGGUGUGAAAUUUCGGAGCUUAACUCCGAAACUGCAUUUGAUACUGCCGUGCUUGAGGACUGGAGAGGAGACUGGAAUUCAUGGUGUAGCAGUGAAAUGCGUAGAGAUCAUGAGGAAGACCAGUGGCGAAGGCGGGUCUCUGGACAGUUCCUGACACUGAGGCACGAAGGCCAGGGGAGCAAACGGG
rnacentral:rRNA from 1 species